CACAGGGGUUGCUGGCACUCUACUUCGUACAGGGAUUUUGUUCUUUGACCCAGGCUCUUGCCUGGAACUUUCUCUGCAGGUACUGGGGGCUCUGGGGCCUGAAGUCCAGCCACAGCCAGGAGCUGUUGUGAGCCUUGUCAGCAUCCCUCAUGAGACACGGGACAUUGAGGAUCGUGGAAGCAGAUCUUAAAUCAAAGCCUGAGCCAUCAAUCUCCAAGAACAGACUGAAAUAACAAGGUGGGUGGCGCAGACCGCCACCACACGGACAGCCGAAAGAUAUUAAAAAGUCAGGCUCUCAGACCCCCAGAUCCCUUAACAAAUUUCCAAGUACCUGGGGGAUCUGCAUGC
rnacentral:lncRNA from 1 species